UUAAGCGACUAAGCGUACACGGUGGAUGCCCUGGCAGUCAGAGGCGAUGAAGGACGUGCUAAUCUGCGAAAAGCGCCGGCGAGGUGAUAUGAACCUUUGACCCGGCGAUGUCCGAAUGGGGAAACCCAGUGUGUUCCGACACACUAUCGUUAACUGAAUACAUAGGUUAACGAGGCGAACCGGGGGAACUGAAACAUCUAAGUACCCCGAGGAAAAGAAAUCAACCGAGAUUCCCCCAGUAGCGGCGAGCGAACGGGGAGCAGCCCGGAGUCUGAAUCAGCUUGUGUGUUAGUGGAACGGUCUGGAAAGUCCGACGGUACAGGGUGAUAGUCCCGUACACGAAAAUGCACAUGCUGUGAACUCGAAGAGUAGGGCGGGACACGUGGUAUCCUGUCUGAAUAUGGGGGGACCAUCCUCCAAGGCUAAAUACUCCUGACUGACCGAUAGUGAACCAGUACCGUGAGGGAAAGGCGAAAAGAACCCCGGCGAGGGGAGUGAAAAAGAACCUGAAACCGUGUACGUACAAGCAGUGGGAGCACCUUCGGGUGUGACUGCGUACCUUUUGUAUAAUGGGUCAGCGACUUAUAUUCUGUAGCAAGGUUAACCGUAUAGGGGAGCCGAAGGGAAACCGAGUCUUAACUGGGCGUUAAGUUGCAGGGUAUAGACCCGAAACCCGGUGAUCUAGCCAUGGGCAGGUUGAAGGUUGGGUAACACUAACUGGAGGACCGAACCGACUAAUGUUGAAAAAUUAGCGGAUGACCUGUGGCUGGGGGUGAAAGGCCAAUCAAACCGGGAGAUAGCUGGUUCUCCCCGAAAGCUAUUUAGGUAGCGCCUCGUGAACUCAUCUUCGGGGGUAGAGCACUGUUUCGGCUAGGGGGCCAUCCCGGCUUACCAACCCGAUGCAAACUACGAAUACCGAAGAAUGUUAUCACGGGAGACACACGGCGGGUGCUAACGUCCGUCGUGAAGAGGGAAACAACCCAGACCGCCAGCUAAGGUCCCAAAGUCAUGGUUAAGUGGGAAACGAUGUGGGAAGGCACAGACAGCCAGGAUGUUGGCUUAGAAGCAGCCAUCAUUUAAAGAAAGCGUAAUAGCUCACUGGUCGAGUCGGCCUGCGCGGAAGAUGUAACGGGGCUAAACCAUGCACCGAAGCUGCGGCAGCGACGCUUAUGCGUUGUUGGGUAGGGGAGCGUUCUGUAAGCCGUUGAAGGUGUGCUGUGAGGCAUGCUGGAGGUAUCAGAAGUGCGAAUGCUGACAUAAGUAACGAUAAAGCGGGUGAAAAGCCCGCUCGCCGGAAGACCAAGGGUUCCUGUCCAACGUUAAUCGGGGCAGGGUGAGUCGACCCCUAAGGCGAGGCCGAAAGGCGUAGUCGAUGGGAAACAGGUUAAUAUUCCUGUACUUGGUGUUACUGCGAAGGGGGGACGGAGAAGGCUAUGUCAGCCGGGCGACGGUUGUCCCGGUUUAAGCAUGUAGGCGGAGGUUCCAGGUAAAUCCGGUACCUUGUUAACGCUGAGGUGUGAUGACGAGGCACUACGGUGCUGAAGUGAUAAAUGCCCUGCUUCCAGGAAAAGCCUCUAAGCAUCAGGUAACACGAAAUCGUACCCCAAACCGACACAGGUGGUCAGGUAGAGAAUACCAAGGCGCUUGAGAGAACUCGGGUGAAGGAACUAGGCAAAAUGGUGCCGUAACUUCGGGAGAAGGCACGCUGAUAUGUAGGUGAAGUCCCUGCGGACGGAGCUGAAAUCAGUCGAAGAUACCAGCUGGCUGCAACUGUUUAUUAAAAACACAGCACUGUGCAAACACGAAAGUGGACGUAUACGGUGUGACGCCUGCCCGGUGCCGGAAGGUUAAUUGAUGGGGUUAGCGGCAACGCGAAGCUCUUGAUCGAAGCCCCGGUAAACGGCGGCCGUAACUAUAACGGUCCUAAGGUAGCGAAAUUCCUUGUCGGGUAAGUUCCGACCUGCACGAAUGGCGUAAUGAUGGCCAGGCUGUCUCCACCCGAGACUCAGUGAAAUUGAACUCGCUGUGAAGAUGCAGUGUACCCGCGGCAAGACGGAAAGACCCCGUGAACCUUUACUAUAGCUUGACACUGAACACUGGUCCUUGAUGUGUAGGAUAGGUGGGAGGCUUUGAAGCGUGGACGCCAGUCUGCGUGGAGCCGCCCUUGAAAUACCACCCUUUAAUGGCUGGUGUUCUAACGUAGACCCGUGAUCCGGGUUGCGGACAGUGUCUGGUGGGUAGUUUGACUGGGGCGGUCUCCUCCCAAAGAGUAACGGAGGAGCACGAAGGUUGGCUAAUCCUGGUCGGACAUCAGGAGGUUAGUGCAAUGGCAUAAGCCAGCUUGACUGCGAGCGUGACGGCGCGAGCAGGUGCGAAAGCAGGUCAUAGUGAUCCGGUGGUUCUGAAUGGAAGGGCCAUCGCUCAACGGAUAAAAGGUACUCCGGGGAUAACAGGCUGAUACCGCCCAAGAGUUCAUAUCGACGGCGGUGUUUGGCACCUCGAUGUCGGCUCAUCACAUCCUGGGGCUGAAGUAGGUCCCAAGGGUAUGGCUGUUCGCCAUUUAAAGUGGUACGCGAGCUGGGUUUAGAACGUCGUGAGACAGUUCGGUCCCUAUCUGCCGUGGGCGCUGGAGAAUUGAGGGGGGCUGCUCCUAGUACGAGAGGACCGGAGUGGACGCAUCACUGGUGUUCGGGUUGUCAUGCCAAUGGCACUGCCCGGUAGCUAAAUGCGGAAGAGAUAAGUGCUGAAAGCAUCUAAGCACGAAACUUGCCCCGAGAUGAGUUCUCCCUGAGACCUUGAGUCUCCUGAAGGAACGUUGAAGACGACGACGUUGAUAGGUCGGGUGUGUAAGCGCAGCGAUGCGUUGAGCUAACCGAUACUAAUGAACCGUGAGGCUUAACCUU
rnacentral:rRNA from 1 species